UAAUGUAACUGGCUCUCCGGAAAGACC
rnacentral:piRNA from 1 species